rnacentral:rRNA from 1 species
CCUACGGGUGGCAGCAGUGGGGGAUAUUGCACAAUGGGGGGAACCCUGAUGCAGCGACGCCGCGUGGGUGAAGGAGCGUUUCGGCGCGUAAAGCCCUAUCGGCAGGGAAGAAGGAGGACGGUACCUGACUAAGAAGCCCCGGCUAACUACGUGCCAGCAGCCGCGGUAAUACGUAGGGGGCAAGCGUUAUCCGGAUUUAUUGGGUGUAAAGGGUGCGUAGACGGAGAAGCAAGUUAGUUGUGAAAUCCCUCGGCUUAACUGAGGAACUGCAACUAAAACUACUUCCCUUGAGUACUGGAGAGGAAAGUGGAAUUCCUAGUGUAGCGGUGAAAUGCGUAGAUAUUAGGAGGAACACCAGUGGCGAAGGCGACUUUCUGGACAGUAACUGACGUUGAGGCACGAAAGUGUGGGGAGCAAACAGGAUUAGAUACCCGAGUAGUC